AGUGAACGCUGGCGGUAGGCCUAACACAUGCAAGUCGAACGGCAGCACAGUAAGAGCUUGCUCUUACGGGUGGCGAGUGGCGGACGGGUGAGGAAUACAUCGGAAUCUACUUUUUCGUGGGGGAUAACGUAGGGAAACUGACGCUAAUACCGCAUACGACCUACGGGUGAAAGCAGGGGAUCUUCGGACCUUGCGCGAUUGAAUGAGCCGAUGUCGGAUUAGCUAGUUGGCGGGGUAAAGGCCCACCAAGGCGACGAUCCGUAGCUGGUCUGAGAGGAUGAUCAGCCACACUGGAACUGAGACACGGUCCGGACUCCUACGGGAGGCAGCAGUGGGGAAUAUUGGACAAUGGGCGCAAGCCUGAUCCAGCCAUACCGCGUGGGUGAAGAAGGCCUUCGGGUUGUAAAGCCCUUUUGUUGGGAAAGAAAAGCAGCAGGUUAAUACCCCGCUGUUCUGACGGUACCCAAAGAAUAAGCACCGGCUAACUUCGUG
rnacentral:rRNA from 1 species